rnacentral:rRNA from 1 species
GAGUUUGAUCCUGGCUCAGGAUGAACGCUAGCGGGAGGCCUAACACAUGCAAGUCGAACGGGAUCCCCGAGCAAUCGGGGUGAGAGUGGCGCACGGGUGAGUAACGCGUAUGCAACCUACCUUUAACUGAGGGAUAGCCCAUAGAAAUGUGGAUUAAUACCUCAUAGUUCUAUUAAGCCGCAUGGUUUGAUAGAUAAAGCUCCGGCGGUUAAAGAUGGGCAUGCGUGACAUUAGCUAGUUGGUAAGGUAACGGCUUACCAAGGCUACGAUGUCUAGGGGUUCUGAGAGGAUGAUCCCCCACACUGGUACUGAGACAC